rnacentral:rRNA from 1 species
GUGAGGAAUAUUGCGCAAUGGAGGCAACUCUGACGCAGCCAUGCCGCGUGCAGGAAGAAGGCGCUACGCGUUGUAAACUGCUUUUAACCGGGAAGAAACCCCAGGACGUGUCCUGGGUUGACGGUACCGGAGGAAUAAGCACCGGCUAACUUCGUGCCAGCAGCCGCGGUAAUACGAAGGGUGCAAGCGUUAUCCGGAUUCAUUGGGUUUAAAGGGUGCGUAGGCGGAGCGUUAAGUCAGUGGUGAAAUCCUGCAGCUUAACUGUAGACUUGCCAUUGAUACUGGCGCGCUUGAGUGCGCUUGAAGUGGGCGGAAUGUGCCGUGUAGCGGUGAAAUGCUUAGAUAUGGCACAGAACACCAAUUGCGAAGGCAGCUCACUAAGGCGAUACUGACGCUGAGGCACGAAAGCGUGGGGAUCGAACAGGAUUAGAUAUCCCUGUAGUCC